rnacentral:lncRNA from 1 species
GAAAAUUUUUUUCUGUAUAUGGUCUCUUUGUUUUCCUUUCAUUUUUUUAAAUGUCUUGACCUGUAUUUAGGGGGAAAAAGGAGACAAGGGAGAUGAAGGCACACCUGGGGAGUCUGGACUUCCAGGGAAGUCAGGAGAACGAGGGUUGCGGGGACUGGCUGGUCAGCCAGGACGACAAGGAGAGAAAGGAGACACGGGAGACCCAGGAGAGCACGGGCGAAAUGUAAGACACAGACAGCUUUUCGAUAUGCUUUCGUCAAAUCUAGUGAGGACACGACAGAGGAAACUGUAAGGAAGUUCGGCCACUCAGCGUCUGUAUGGAUUUUUGUUCGAUUGCAGGGCAGCCCUGGACCUGCAGGACCAAGAGGAGAGAAAGGAGACCAGGUGGAGUGUGUGCUUUAAAUUUCAAGCUAAUCAGGCAUCUUUAGUUCUAUCCUCUGGUUUCUCACUCCUCUUUUCUUCUUAAAAGGGACCACAAGGGCCUCCAGGAGCACCGGGAAAAAUGGUAAAUUUCUUAAAGUCCCACUCCGAUCAUCUUGGAAUCUAUUUUCAAAGCAUUCCGUGCAGUCUUUAAAUUGUGAUAACGCCGUUUUUAGCCAAAAUCUAAAACUUUUCUAGGAAAUAUUCUCUGCAGAGUGUCAGGAAUUCAUUAGAAACUUGCCACUGAGGGCUGGAUUAUUGGCAUGGGAAAACCCCGCCCCACGUCCUGUCCAAUUGCUGAGAGCUUGGAGCAGGGAGCUUGUGGCCUGUCCAAGCAAUUUCUUUGUUACAAAUAAAAUAUUUUUCACGCUGCAUUUUUCAUCUUGUCCUUAUUCACAGCGAUUUGAAUAAAUAAAUACUCAGAAAUCAACUAUUUUAAUCUUAAUAUUUUUAAACAUGUCCUCCAUCAUCAGAAAAAUGCCACAAGAACAUGUCAAAACACCAAAAACAACAUUUUCAUUGUUGUGGACCUUUAACCAUCUCUUAGUUUGUUUUCACAGAAAGAUCUUGAGAAUCUGAGCUUUCUUUAAACCUUUGUUUGUUUUGUCAACAGACUGAUAUUCAGAAUCAACUCAAGGGGGACAAAGGAGAUAAGGUAUCUGUUUCGCAUGUUUGUUCUUUUAUGUUUCUUUUAUACUUUAGAAACAAAAUAAAAUUACAUCUAAAGGAACAACUCACUGAAAUUCUCAGGGGGACGCCGGUGACCCUGGAGAGCACGGUGGCAAAGGUGUUAAAGGGGAAGCAGGGGCUCCCGGACCUUCAGGCCCUCGUGUGAGUUUCCAUCAUGCUUGUCACUUCUAAACACUUCCUAUGCUGGUGGAUAUUCCAUCCUGCAGUACAGGCAUCCGUAUGCACACCAUAGCCCAUGUUGUGCACAUUUGCUGUGCAUGACUGAAUAUGCUUUCUGACUUUUUCUUUCCCUCUGUCUACAAAGGGUCCAGAGGGACCGCAGGGCCCCUCAGGCACCAGAGUAAGCUUGUUCUUUAUUCUAGUGGAUGUUUGCAGCCAUGUUAGUUAUUCUUUCAUCCCUUUGCAGAUGCUCUAAUGUAAAUUUCCCUUGGAAAUGUGUUUAGGGUGACAGAGGAGAGAGAGGAACACCUGGAGAAAAGGUUUGUAAUCACUCCCAGUAAUUUGCCCCUUCAUCCAAAGAAAAAAAACAUUUUUCUUCACAGUUUAGAUUCAUUCUUACAUUCCUUUACUUUGAUACGGUAAAUUUACAACAUCAUGAAGGGAAACACAUAGCUUUGCCCCAACAAAGGAGAGAAUAUUAUUCUCCUUUUGUUAAGGUCUGCUUACACCAAGGAUGAUUGCUAUUGCAAAGCCUAUAAAAAAGAGACUGAAAGUCAUUUA